UAGGGAAUAUUGGGCAAUGGGCGGAAGCCUGACCCAGCCAUGCCGCGUGCAGGAUGAAGGCCUUCUGGGUUGUAAACUGCUUUUACAGGGGAAGAAAACACCCAUGCGUGGGGAACUGACGGUACCCUGGGAAUAAGCACCGGCUAACUCCGUGCCAGCAGCCGCGGUAAUACGGAGGGUGCAAGCGUUGUCCGGAUUUAUUGGGUUUAAAGGGUGCGUAGGCGGCCCCUUAAGUCAGCGGUGAAAGCCCGGGGCUCAACCCCGGAACCGCCGUUGAUACUGGGGGGCUUGAGUACAGACGAGGUAGGCGGAAUUGAGGGUGUAGCGGUGAAAUGCUUAGAUACCCUCAAGAACACCGAUUGCGUAGGCAGCUUACUAGGCUGUGACUGACGCUGAGGCACGAAAGCGUGGGGAGCGAACAGG
rnacentral:rRNA from 1 species